rnacentral:rRNA from 1 species
AUUGAACGCUGGCGGCAGGCCUAACACAUGCAAGUCGAGCGAGCGGCGGAAGGGUGAGUAAUGUAUGGGGACUGCCCGAUAGAGGGGGAUAACUACUCGAAACGGUGGCUAAUACCGCAUAUGUUCGGAUAACCCAUAUGUGAUUAGCUAGUGGGUGAGGUAAUGGCUUACCUAGGCGACGAUCCCUAGCUGGCCUGAGAGGAUGAUCAGCCACACUGGAACUGAGACCCGGCCCAGACUCCUCCGGAGGCAGCAUAGGGGAAUAUUGCACAAUGGGGGCAAGCCUAAUACGGCAAUGCCGCGUGUAUGAAGAAGGCCCUAGGGUUGUAAAGUACUUUCAGUCGGGUGGCGUUACCGACAGAAGAAGCACCGGCUAACUCCGUGCCAGCAGCCGCGGUAAUUC